rnacentral:misc_RNA from 1 species
AAGGAGCACCAUUUCCCAGUCGAAUGAACUAGGGAACAUAAAGUAGGCAUCUGUAGUGGGUAUCUACUUGGUGAAUAUGUUUUGUAAAUCCUGUCCACCCCCGUGGAUGGGUAGUCGGCAAAACGUCGGACUGUCAUAAGAAUUGAAACGCUGGCACACUGUUGGGUCCUGAGGCAACACGUUGUGUUGUCACCCUGCUUGGUGGUGGGGUGUGGACUUUGACUUCUGAAUAGUGGUUGCGAGCAUCUAAACAUAGCCUCGCUCGUUUUCGAGUGAGGCUGGUUUUUGCAAUUUUAU